rnacentral:lncRNA from 1 species
CCCUUUGUUUAGCUACUCUUUCCUCUGCCCACUUCCCCAUCCCUCUUGUACUCUUUCCCUCCCUCUGUCAAUAUCUACAUCCCUCUAACUGGCUCCCUGUCACUCUAUCCAGCUCUUCAUCAUCCUCUUCCUCUCCCUAUCCCACCACCUGCCCGCUGUCCUUCUGUCCGGCUCCCCAUCCCUCUGCCGCUCCCGUCUCUCUGUGCCUCUGUCUUGUCUGCCUGUGCGCGGGCAGGGCUGCCGUGCGGCGCAGCUCGAGUCGCGAUCGCGACGCUGGCAUCGAGCCCGCUUUUCYGUCAGGUCUGCCUUUACGCAAACUGGCGUCUUCCCUCCAUCUACAGCUCGACCGUUCUGCUGAUUUAGUGCUUCCCGAGGGGCUGUGCUUCCUGGCAAAGAAUGCUUUGAGUUUAUCUUAGCGAGCGCGAUUGUUUACCUAGCUUCUGGCUCCUUUCUUUCCUUGGAACUCCUUUCUCUUUGCUAUUCUGGCCCCUCCAAACAAUUUCUGCUUCUAGUAUUAUUAAUGUUGGGCCGUAAUCCUUGCAGAGCUUCCUUCUUUGAAGUCAGGGGGUUCCGGGGGUUCCAGUAUUGGUUUUUACUUUGAGGGUAAAGGUCCUUCACAACUGAUGUCUUAAGUGUGCAACUGUUUUACCUGGAUUUUUGCUUUCACAAGCUACUGUUUCUUUCAGGGGCCAGCUACAACAGUAACUGUGCUCUAGCAGAGAAGUGGGGUUCCAUGUAUACGAGCAACAGCACCACAGUACCCAGUAAAACCAUAAUUACAGUACUGGUAGCACAAGUCAGUUUCCCAUCAGCUCAGUCUCCAGAGUCUGGAGUUUUUGGAGGCCUUAAUUUUUACCCUGCUUUGGCUGGAGGGUGUUUUCUGAGAGCGUCCGUCAGCAGCACAGUUUCCCUGAGGAGGAUGGUCUACUGAAGGCUGGAGGUGGCCGGGUGCCUGAGCGAGCCUGACCGUAGGUGAGGGCUGCUGUGACAUCCCUGCGAUGAAACGGAGCCAGAGAGGGUGGCUGAAGCAUAGUCCGGCAGGCGAAGGAGCGUCAUCACAGCUGGGAGCUCUGCGGAGCUCCGCGGCUGGCCAUGGAGGACGAGCUCUGACUCGCAGCGUGGACACAGCUACGUCCUGGGGCUGCACCGUGUGUGAGCAGGGCUGGGAGGUGGAAGCUGGUUUUGCCCUCGGUGGUUACUGGUGUCAUUGGCUGUGGAUUUUGCCCACGGAGCUGAGAGGACCAAAAAUAUUAAUGGUCUGUAAGAGAGAUGAAUUAGUGCUUGCGGUGUUCCAGGUAGGUUCAGUGGAAGUGCAGCUUAGUGCAGUCCAGUGGCAUGAUUCUUGCACAUGCUCACAUUUGAACGGUGGCUAAAACCAAGCCUAUAAACAGCAACUGUAACGUGAUUCUGGUGCGUGUCUUCCUGUUCUGCUGCCCUUCUAAAGGAAGGGGAAACUUCUUAAACUGUGGGCAAAACCCCAUGGCUUCUCUGUACUGUUCUCAUGCUCAUGGGUGCUUUGGUGUUUCUUGCUUAAAGCUGAG